AUGUAUUCGUCCGAAGUUAUGCCUGACUUUGUCUUCGCCGGAAUAAAUACAAUUCCCAUUGCACUGCCCUGAGUGCCUGUACGACGCACUUUAAUCACUCUUAGAAAAUCUGUGCAGCCCUGACUCCAGCAUUGUGUAUCUCGGCCUUUUGCACGUUUUCAUAAUCAUGAUAAACCGCGAAAUGUUUUGCGGGAAUAAGUAACUGAUGAUUUCCCAUAGGACCUUGCGCGGCGGGUAUUGUUGGACAUCGUCUUCCUCGAUAUUGUGUAUUUGGGGACACAGUCAAUACAGCCAGUCGAAUGCAGGCGUAUGGAGAAGGCGGAAAGAUUCACAUUUCGGAACAAACAAAAAAUUUGUUGGCUAAAUAUCCUGAUUUUUUAAUUCAAGAAAGGGGAUUUCUAGAAAUUAGGGGAAAGGGAAAAAUCGUGACCUUUUGGUUGUCAGAUGUCUAAUAUAUGCUUGUGUAGGAUUCUUCACGCACAGAUCUAUUUUGCAAUCCUUUAUUACAGUUUGGGCUUGCGUAUAUAAGAUUACCCUCAAAGGUGAACAUAAAAAUAAA